rnacentral:rRNA from 1 species
ACUCCUACGGGAGGCAGCAGUGGGAAUAUUGGACAAUGGGGAACCCGUGAUCCAGCAAUGCCAUGUGUGUGAAGAAGGCUCUAGGGUUGUAAAGCACUUUAGUUGGGGAGGAAAGCUUAUAGGUUAAUAGCUUAUGAGAAGGACGUUACCCAAAGAAUAAGGACCGGCUAACUCCGUGCCAGCAGCCGCGGUAAUACGGGGU